GGAGCCCAAGCAACCCUAGCGAAGGUUGUGGUAGAUUCGGGCGCGGGAGGCGGCCAUAAGCUGCCGUCAUUCUGCCGAGUGGUGAGUAAACUGUGCCAGUGUCGGGAGAGGAGACCGGGAAGCUGUGUGUGCUGACCGGGUAUUCAGUUGCACCCCCGAGGGGAAUACCUGGCUGAAUUUUUUGAGUUUAAUUUCAGAAUUACUGCCGAUUUACAAGGUCCAAGAUGGAAAGUCAUAAACCAAGUACUAACAAAGAUGAUUUAAUAUUUAAUAUCAUACCCAGAAAAAUCAAACAACUUCCAGAAUCAGACAGGAAUCUGCUUGAAUAUGGAUCAGCAUAUAUUGGACUUAAUGCUGCUUUUGGGGGCCUAAUAGCAAACAGUCUAUUUCGGCGAAUUUUGAACGUGACACAAGCUCGAGUAGCAUCUAGCUUGCCAAUGGCUGUGAUCCCAUUUUUGACAGCAAACCUGUCCUACCAUAGUUUUGUAAGUUUACCUUUGAGUACAGGUAAUUUGAACUGUGAAAUCUGUACGACAACACGGGGUACACUAGUUGGUUUUGUUCUGGGUGGUCUGUACCCCAUCCUUUUGGCUAUACCCGUGAAUGGGGGCCUUGCUGCCAGGUAUGAAUCAAGUCCUCUACCACAGAGGGGAAACAUCUUCAAUUACUGGAUUACUAUUUCUAAGCCUGUCUUUAGAAAAAUGUUAUUUCCUACUUUACUUCAGACUGCUUUUGCAGCAUAUCUUGGGUCUAGACAAUAUAAACUCCUCAUAAAGGCCCUUCAGUUACCUGAACCUGAUUUAGAAAUUCAAUGAUUUGAAGCAAACAUGUACAAAAAUAAAAUGUUGAAAAUU
rnacentral:lncRNA from 1 species